rnacentral:rRNA from 11 species
AGGAUUAGAUACCCUGGUAGUCUAUACUGUAAACUAUAAAUAUCCGUUUUAAAAUUAAGAAAAAUUUUGAAACCAAACUAACGUGUUAAAUAUUUUGCCUGAGAAGUACGCCGGCAACGUUGAAACUCAAAGGAAUUGACGGGGAUUUAUAACAUUGGUGGACUAUGUGGUUUAAUUCGUCAAUACACGCAAAACCUUACCAAUUCUUGAAUAAUUAUAAAACUAAAGCAAAAUGUUAGUUUUUAUAUAAUUACAGGUGCUGCAUGGUUGUCGUCAGUUCGUAUUGUGAAAUGUCUGGUUUAUUCCUGUAACGAGCGAAACCCUAUUUCUUUAUUACAAAUUUGCGAUUAAAUAACCUUUUUGGUUAUUUUAAGUUUAUAGUACAUUAAGAACUCCAAAAUGGAGAAAUUCCUUAUAACUAUAUAAGGUAAAAAUAGGAUGACGUCAAAUCUUCAUGGCCUUUAUGAAUUGGGCUACUCAUGUAGUACAAAAAUAGUAUCAAUAAGUUGCAAUAAUGAAAAUUGGAGCUAAUCUAAAAAAACUAUAAAAAUUCAAAUUGUUUUCUGAAACUUGAAAACAUGAAGUUGGAAUCAAUAGUAAUCGUUUAUCAGCAAGGAACGGUGAAUUCAAAUUUAAAUCUUGUACAUACCGCCCGUCACAGCCUGGAAAUUAAUUUUAUUUGAAGCUAAAUUAUACGUUAAACAUUUUAAUUUUGUUUGUUAUUCGUUUAUCACGUAUAGCUAAAUUAAAUAAUUAAUGCGUAGUUUAAUUAGAAUAAAGUUGAUAACUUUGUUGAAGUCGUAACAAGGUAACAGUAGAGGAAUCUGUUGUUGGAAU